AUUGAACGCUGGCGGCAGGCUUAACACAUGCAAGUCGAGCGGAGCGGCGGACGGGUGAGUAAUGCCUAGGAAUCUGCCUGGUAGUGGGGGAUAACGUCCGGAAACGGGCGCUAAAACCGCAAACUAUCAGAUGAGACUAGGUCGGAUUAGCUAGUUGGUGGGGUAAAGGCCCACCAAGGCGAAGAUCCGUAACUGGUCUGAGAGGAUGAGCAGUCACACUGGAACUGAGACACGGUCCAGACUCCUACGGGAGGCAGCAGUGGGGAAUAUUGGACAAUGGGCGCAAGCCUGAUCCAGCCAUGCCGCGUGUGUGAAGAAGGUCUUCGGAUUGUAAAGCUCUUUCAGUUGGGAGGCGUUACCAACAGAAUAAGCACCGGCUAACUUCGUGCCAGCAGCCGCGGUAAUUC
rnacentral:rRNA from 1 species